rnacentral:tRNA from 1 species
AGGGAUGUUGCUCAGUGGUAGAGCAUUUGCCUAGCCUGCAUGAGGCCUGGGUUGGAUCCCUAGCACCACUG